GCCCUUGUAGCUCAGUUGGUAGAGCAACGGACUCUUAAUCCGUUUGUCCUAGGUUCGAGCCCUAGCGGGGGUAC
rnacentral:tRNA from 1 species